ensembl:lncRNA
AUUACAUAGCAGAAAUUAGCACUGAGCAUUUCAGAUGCUUCAAAACGAGUUUGCAGUUAUGUAUUUUGGCAGAUCAAGGGGAGAUGUUUUCUUUCAAAUGGAUUAACUCAAAGAAGUAAUUUGUUUUUUACAAUAAGGGUGUUGAGGCAGUGGCACAGGUUGCCCAGAGUGGUGGUGGACGCCCCAUCCAUGCAGAAACCCGAGGUCAGGCUGGAUGGGGCUCUGAGCACCUGAUGGAGCUGUAGGUGUCCCUGUUCAUUGCAGGGGAGUUGGACCAGAUGGCCUUCAAGGGUCCCUUCCAACUCAAAAAAUCCUAUGAUUCUAUGAAGUGAGACGCAUCCUAUGCCUACAAGAGAGUCCAGAAUGUCAGUGCUGAUUAAAAUACACAAUCCAAUAUAUGCUAUUUUAGUAGGAAUAUAAUUACAUGAAGGAAAAUUCAUUUUAGUGUAUUUGAGGAAAUAUAUCCCACACUUUUGUCUCUCUGUUUCACUUUGGUUACUACACAGAGUUGCCAACACCCACAGAAAGGGCAUCAAGAAUUAGGUACUGAUUGUUCUGUGGUGGUCCAGUUAUUCACUCAAGGAAACCCAUACACUUCUUUCUCUAUGAACUUCAAAAAUUCUCGACAGCUCCCUUCAAGGGCGGUGUCCUGGUUUCAGCAAAAAAAAGCGUUAGGGGCACACCGAGCUUCGGUCGCUGCUGAGCGGCGAGGCCGCACCCUGCGUCAGGCUGGGCCGCUGGGCGGGGCGGAGCCGCCGCCAUGAUGGACAGCAGCGGGGCCGGGGCGGGGCCGGGACUGAGUCCGCAUUGGGCAGGGGCUGUUCCAUACCGCGUGACGUCAGGCGGACGCCAUAAGGCUGUGGGAACGGCAGUGCUUGAUCGGCAGUUGUGGAGGUUGUGGUGUCGCCGUAGCUGUAGCUUUGUUUAUUGUUGUGUAUUCGUUGGUGGACGGAACAGGGAGCGCCUGCGGAGGAUGGCGAGUGCCUGCAGAGCAAGGGAGCACCUGCGGAUGAUGGGAGUACCUGCAGAGAAGAAGGAGGGUUUGCGGAGGACACAGUGCCGUCGGAGAAUACAGGUAGUGCGCCGGCGGAGGUUAGAGGUAGUGCGCUGUCAGAAGAUAGAGGUGGAGCAUCUGUGGAGGAUGGGAGCACUGUCAGAAGACAGAGGUAGUGCGUCGGUAGAGGUUAGAGGUAGUGCACCAUUGGAGGAUAAAGGUGGAGGGUUUGCAGAGGACGGGAACACCUGAGGAGAUGGGGAGUGCCUGCAGAGGACAGGAACGUCGUCAGAGGAUAGUAGUUGUGCGCUGGCAAAGGUUAGAGGUAGUGUGCUAGCAGAGGAAAGAGGUGCAACAGCUGCGGGGGAUGGGAGAGCCAUCAGAAGAUAGAGGUAGUGCGCCAGCAGAGGUUAGAUGUAGUGCGACAUUGGAAGAUAGAGGUGGAGUGUCUGUGGAGAAUGAAAGCACCUGCAGAGAACAGGGAGCGCCAGCAGAGGAUGGGAGCACCGUCAGAAGAUAGAGGUAGCACGCCGGUGGAGGUUAGAUGUAGUGUGCCAUCAGAGAAUAGAGGUGGAGUACCUGCGGAGGACAGGGAGCACCUGUGGGGAACAGGGAGCGCUUGCAGAGGACAGGAGCACCGUCAGAAUAUAGAGGUAGUGCGCCAGCAGAGGUUAGAGGUAGUGCACCAUUGGAGGACAGAGGUGGAUGGUCUGUGGAGGACAGGAGCACCUGAAGAAAACAGGGAGCACCUACGGGGGACGGGAGCUCAGUCAGAAGACAAAGGUAGCACCAGCAGAGAUUAGAGGUAACACACCAGCAGAGGAUAAGAGGUAGCACGCCGGCAAAGGUUAGAGGUAGUGCACUGUCAGAUGAUAGAGGUGUAACGUAUGCGGAGAAAAAGAGGACCUGCGGAGAACAAGGAGUGCCUGCAGAUGAUGGGAGCACAAUCAGAAGAUAGAGGUAGCUUGCCGGCAGAGGUUAGAGGUAGUGCACUGUUGGAGGAUCAAAGUAGUGGGUCUGCAGAGAACAGGAGAACCUGCGGAGAACAGGGAGUGACUGCAGAGGACGGGAACACCGGCAGAAAACAGAAUUAGUGCACUGGCAGAGGUUAGAUGUAGUGCGCUGUUGGAGGAUAGAGGUGGAAUGUCUGCGGAGGAAAAGAGCACCUGCAGGGAACUGGAAGUAAUUGUAGAGGACAGGAGUGCCGUCAUAAGACAGAUUUAGUGCGCUGGCAGAGGUUAGAUGUAGUGUGCCAUCAGAAGAUAUAGGUGGAGCAUCUGCAGAGGACAGGAGCAUCUGCAGAGAACACAGAAGGCCUGCAGAUGAUGGGAGUGUUUUCAGAAGAUAGAGGUAGUGCGCUGGCAGAGGUUAGAUGUAGUGCCCCAUCAGAGGAUCGAGGUGGAGGGUCUGGGGAGGAUGAGAUCACCUGCAGAGAACAUGGAGAGCCUGUGCAGGACGGGAGCGCUGUUGGAAGACAGAGUUAGUGAGCUGGCAGAGUUUAGAUGCAGUGUGCCAUCACGGGAUAGAGGUGAAGAGUCUGUGGAGGACGGGAGCACCUGUGGAGAACAAAGAGUGUCUGCAGAUGACGGGAGCGCGAACAGAAGAUAGAGGUAGCACACUGGCAGUGGUUACAGGUAGUGCGCUGUCACAGGAUCGAAGUGCAAGAUGUGGGGAGGAUGGGAACAUCUGUGGAGAUCAAGGAGUGCCUGCAGAUGAUGGAAGCAUGAUCUGAAGAUAGAGGUAGCUUGCAGGCAGAGGUUAGAGGUAGUGUGCUGUUGGAGGAUUGAGGUGGAGGGUCUGCAGAGGACGGGAGCACCUGCGGCAAGCAGGGACUGACUGCGAAGAACGGGAGUGCUGUCAGAAGGAAUAGCUAGUGAACCGGCAGAGGUUAGAGGUAGUGUGCCAUCAGAGGAUCGAGGUGGAGGGUCUGGGGUGGAUGGGAGCACCUGUGGAGGACAGGAGUGCUGUCAGAAGGCAUAGUUAGUGCGCCAGCAGAGGUUAGAGGUAGUGUGCCAUCAGAGGAUUGAGGUGGAGGGUCUGCGGAGUAUCGGACCACCUGAGGACAACAGGGAGCACCUGCGGAGGAUGGGAGCGCUGUCAGAAGGCAUAGUUAGUGCGCCGGCAGAGGUUAGAGGUAGUGUGCCUUCAGAGGACAUAGGUAGAGCACCUGUGGAGGAUGGGGGUACCUGCAGAGAACACAGAACACCUGGAGAUGAUGGGAGCACUGUCGGAAUGCGUAGUUAGUGCACCAGCAGAGGUUAGAUGUAGUGCAUCAUCAGAGGAUAUAGGUGGAGCAUCGGCAGAGGACGGGAACACCUACAGAGAUCAAGGAGUGCCUGCAGAUGACGGGAGUGUUGUCAGAAGAUAGAGGUAGUGCGCUGUCGGAGGAUCGAGGUGGAGCGUCUGGGGAGGACGGGAGCAUUUGUGGAGAACAGGGAGCAGCUGUGGAGGACAGGAGUGCUGUCAGAAGUCAGUUAGUGCGCCAGCAGAGGUUAGAUGUAGUGUGCCUUCAGAGGAUAUAGGUGGAGCAUCUGCGGAGGAUAGGAGCACCUGUGGAGAACAGGAAGUGAUUGCCAAGGACAGCAGCACCAUCAGAAGACAGAGUUAGUGCGCCAGCAGAGGUUAGAUGUAGUGCAUCAUCAGAGGAUCGAGUUGGAGCGUCUGCGGAGAACAAGAGCAGCUGCGGAGAACACAGACGGCAUGCAGAUGAUGGGAGCGUGGUUAGAAGAUAGAGGUAGUGUGCCAGCAGAGGUUAGAUGUAGUGUGCCAUUAGAGGAUCAAGGUGGAGGGUCUGCCUAGGAUCGGAGUACCUCAGGAGAACAGGGAGCACCUGCGGAGGACAGGAGUGCUGUCAGAAGGCAUAGUUAGUGCGUCAGCAGAGGUUAGAUGUAGUGUGCCUUCAGAAAAUAGAGGUGGAGCAUCUGUGGAGGAUAGGAGCACCUGCGGAGAACAGGAAGCGAUUGCCAAGGACAGGAGCACCAUCAGAAGACAGAGUUAGUGCGCCAGCAGAGGUUAGAUGUAGUGCAUCAUCAGAGGAUAGAGGUGGAGCGUCUACAGAGGACAAGAGCAUCUGCGGAGAACAGAGGCUGCUUGCAAAUGAUGGGAGCGUGGUUAGAAGAUAGAGGUAGUGUGCCAGCAGAGGUUAGAGGUAGUGUGCCAUCAGAGGAUCGAGGUGGAGGGUCUGCGAAGGAUGGGAGCACCUGCAGCGAACAGGGAGCAGCUGUGGAGGACAGGAGUGCUGUCAGAAGACAUAGUUAGUGCGCCGGCAGAGGUUAGAUGUAGUGUGCCUUCAGAGGAUCGAGUUGGAGCGUCUGCAGAGGACAAGAGCAUCCGCGGAGAACAGAGACCGCUUGCAGAUGAUGGGAGCGUGGUUAGAAGAUAGAGGUAGUGCGCCGGCAGAGGUUAGAGGUAGUGUGCCAUCAGAGGAUAGAGGUGGAGCGUCUGGGGAGGAUCGAUGUACCUGAGGAGAACAGGGAGCACCUGCGGAGGACAGGAGUGCUGUCAGAAGACAUAGUUAGUGCGCCGGCAGAAGUUAGAUGUAGUGUGCC